AUGAAACUUUCUUGCCACAAGCUGUACUUUCCAUUAUUUUCUUCUAGUUGUGUUUGUCAAAUGGCGGAGCCAGCCAUGAAGGACCUUUGUAUCCGGCUGUGGCCCUCCGAGCCCCUGCCGAGCAGCUAUUUCGGUCUGCUGGCGAAGCUGUGUGACAGUGCUGCCCGUGUCGAGACCGUGAAGCGCUUGGUGUGCAUUGAAGGGGCUCGGAUGGCGUUCUUGAAGACCAUGGUGCAUUGGCCAAAGAUCAAACCCGUCAAGAUGGCCACUGUACCUCCCCCAACUAGAAAAGAGCAUAGGCGCCCGGAGCAAUACUUCGCUGCCGUGAUGGACGAUGCUCGGGCAGUGGAGGCACUAUGUUCCAAGGAUGUAGUCCUUGACUAG
rnacentral:rRNA from 1 species